GAUGAACGCUGGCGGCGUGCUUAACACAUGCAAGUCGAACGAGGAAGCCCAGCUUGCUGGGUGGUUUAGUGGCGAACGGGUGAGUAACACGUGAGCAACCUGCCCCUGACUCUGGGAUAAGCGCUGGAAACGGCGUCUAAUACUGGAUAUGUCCCGUCACCGCAUGGUGUGCGGGUGGAAAGAUUUUUCGGUUGGGGAUGGGCUCGCGGCCUAUCAGCUUGUUGGUGAGGUAAUGGCUCACCAAGGCGUCGACGGGUAGCCGGCCUGAGAGGGUGACCGGCCACACUGGGACUGAGACACGGCCCAGACUCCUACGGGAGGCAGCAGUGGGGAAUAUUGCACAAUGGGCGGAAGCCUGAUGCAGCAACGCCGCGUGAGGGAUGACGGCCUUCGGGUUGUAAACCUCUUUUAGCAGGGAAGAAGCGAAAGUGACGGUACCUGCAGAAAAAGCACCGGCUAACUACGUG
rnacentral:rRNA from 1 species